AUACAGAGGGCCCAAGCGUUGCGCGGAAUCAUUGGGCUUAAAGCGUACGUAGGCGGACAUGAAGGUAUCGUGUGAAAUCCCUCGGCUCAACCGAGGAAUGGCACGGUAAACCACAUGUCUUGAGUCAGGUAGAGGCCGCCGGAACGCUCGGUGGAGCGGUGAAAUGCGUUGAUAUCGAGCGGAACGCCGAAGGAGAAAUCAGGCGGCUGGGCCUGUACUGACGCUGAGGUACGAAAGCGUGGGGAGCGAACGGGAUUAGAAACCCCUGUAGUCC
rnacentral:rRNA from 1 species